CACAACCGACCACCGUAUUCCAUUAUUAUCAAAGCGACCAAAUUUCAUUGGCCGCAUGUGUGCAUGCGGCAUUCAAAUUGAGCGGUAGUGCAAACGCUUAUGGCAAUUCGUCGGAUGAUUUACCACGUAUCAAGAGGGCGACUGAUUCCACGAAUCGAGGCUACCCUAGGGCGUUUCAAGUGGAAACGUCGUAAAACCGCGUUCGGUCUCUAUAUAUCGGCUAACCGCAUUCCCAUUCCAGAAACGUGUGAGUCAAGCGCCGCGACGCUUGGCGUCGUAAAUAACAUUCCCAACAAUUAGCACACGCGACAAAGGGGGCGUAUAGAGCGCAAAGGAGUGGUUGCGAUCUUUUCUCAUAGACUCGAAUGUACAGGGUGUCCCAUUAUUUACAGACAAUCAAUUAUAAAUAUGAUUCUAUUAAUAAUUAGAAGAAAUAAUAAAAUUUCAUCGUGACUUUUCGAUGUACGGACAAUUUUUCAAAUUUUCUCGAAAAUUAAUUUUUUCUUCAUUUUCAUGCAUGCGGAAUAAUGAUUCAUUUUUAUUAUCGAUCGAAUAAUUUCUUUCUCUUCGAUUCAUCGACACUUCUUCACAAUUUGACGCUCUACGUGAUAUGGAAUAAGAACGAUUGUACUCCUGAUUUUCGCAAUGGUCCCUACUUACUCUCCAUCUUCGUCCAGUUAAUUCGAUCGUUCGCUACCCCAAAUCGUUUAACCACCCUCUCUGCAAUCGUCCACCGUCGAGGAAUUAAUCGCAUUACAGGAGUAUUUUUAUUGGACGGAUUACGAAACGAUCUCUCUGUAAUGGUCGUGUAAAUUUUAAGGGCUCUGCGUUUCGAGAGCUUUGCUACACGUCGUUGAAUGGCGUUAAUGGCGGAAAAAUGGAGCUUAGAAUUUUUUGUUCCGAUAGAGCGAUAUGAUUUUUAUUUCAUCUUUUUUUAUUUAUUUAUCUAAUUGAUGAAAUUGUUCACAAUUUAUUUUUAUAAAUUAUUCAAUUCGUGAUAUUAUCAUAAUAUUGAUGUAUUAAUUUGUUGUAAAAGUAAUUAUAUAAUAUAAAACAAAGUAAUCUCGGUUAAUUAAGAUCUUAGAUAAACGAUUAUCGUAUAUAAUCUCGUUCUUAAUUUUAUUCUUAUAAAUUUAUACAAAUUCCCAUUAUUAACCGUUAAAUUAAAAAUUAUCAGAUAAUGUACGAAAAAAAUGUACAAUCAUCGUCAAUUAAACAUCCUAACACGUUAGAGGUUUUUAAUUUACAUUUUAUCGCAAAUAAUAUUUUAUAAAGCUAUAAUUAACAAAUUAAUUAAACAAGUUUAGCUCGUAAUUCUUUCUUCUCCACACUCACUGAAAAAGAAAAAGAAAAAGAAAGUAAUAAGGCGCAUUGAUAUAAUUAAAUUGCUCAAUAUUCUCCGUGUUCUUCCGCCUUCUUUAAAUUCCGAACAUUAUAAAAACAACUUGUAACUUGUAACGGACCGAAUCGAAGUGGAUCGAAAGAAGUGGAAGAAGUGAACUUCACGGACCGCCCAUAGCUGGCUUAUCAUAAGUAAAGAAGAAAGAAAGAAAAAACCCGGAGGUUCUAGAGAAAUAUAAAAAUUCGAAGCGAAAAUCCUUGGCGAGUAUUAACGUUCGAAUAUACGCACGUCGGUUUCCAAUCUUUAUCAAAGGAUACUGGCUAUCCUACUAUCCUCUCCAAUGUAAAGAACUCGAAAGAAAAAGAUAAGAGGGAGGGAGAGUACUGGUCGGUCCCAAAGAAUCCGUGCCUACUCCUCCCGACCGAGCCUCGAAUAGUUCUCCAUUUAUGUUCCACAUUUAUUGUUAUUAGCCUGCAGUUAUCGUGACCAAGUAUAUUCACUUAAAAUUGAGCAUGCGUGUAAUGUAUUCGUACGUAUUUAUACUACCCGAUAUAUCGAGUGCAUGGAUCGUUUCCUCCACGUGUUUUCUCGCGGAACGUUCGAACGAAUUUUCAUGAAGUUUCGUGUUCGGUGAUAACGAUAGGAUCGGGUUCGAUAUAAGUCCGAGUUAAAUUCAAUUCCGUUCUAAAUGUACACAUUUUUGACACACCCUUUAUCUUUUGCAUAACGGAAUUUAUUUAUUAAAUCAGUGUAUACGAUUCAAAUUAUUCACAGAAAUUAAUGGUGUUAAUGUGAAGAAAUUAUAUAAUUUACGAAAAAAAACUGGAAUCUUGUUCAAUGCUGUUUGCUCGCGGUAUGUUUAGUCCCAUCACUUGUGUUCGAUAGGAUGAAAAAUAUUGGUAUUAUUAACUGGAUUAAGAAUCGUGAUAUUUUUUUUCCUUUAUUUUUGUUUCAUUAUACGAGAAAUACCUCGAAGGCAUCGAUUUUUAGAUCGAAAAGUGGUCUUUUGAUAUACAAUAGAGAGAGAAUCGAGUCUUUGUCGGUGAGUUUGGCUCUCGCAUUCCAUUUGGUAUUAAGGUCGCGAUUUUCGUUCGAAUCUCGACUUGGAAUCUCAAUUCCACUUUUUUCUCGGUUCUCUUUCGCGUCGACUGCAAAUGAAACGUGAAUAAAGUUUUGGUAUAGCGGCUACGAAUAGUAUUUGCAUAUUAUUGAAUUUAAUAUUGGUGGUAAUAUAAAAGAAAUACGCUGUGAUAAUAAAAUUUUAAAAAUCUAUAUCGAUGUUAUGGAUAUUUAUUAAUUGUCAUCUUGCGUUCGGAUAACGAAUAAUCAAAAUUUGAUCGAUACAAACAGUUUGUGGAAUCACAGUUGAAAUAUUAGUUAUGGAACUAGGAGCGAUAUAGCUUAUUUCGUAUUUAAAUCGUCACCCUUGAUUCGUAAUUGACUGACUUUAAAACAGGGAACGAACGUUGCUCCUCCUACUUUCUAUUCCACCUUCAGUCUCGAAUUUUCCUCGUAGUUUCUCGCCUCCCUUUAAUUUUCAACCCUUCGUAAGCACCUCGAAUUUCUUUCGACAAUAUCUCUAGCAAUUCGCCAUAACUGCGAUAAAUUUACGAAAAACUGGUUUAACUUUGAUAAAAUUACGAAAAAUGAGAGUUUGUUGAACUGUGCUAUAUUAUUUAUUUUUACCUGUUAAUAAAUGAUUGGUACGAAAUAAUUGAGAAGAUUUGAGAGGAAUUGAGAAGGGCAUAAAUUUUCACGAAUCUAAUUAUAAAAAUUGAAUGAUAAUAAUUUGUAUCAAGACUUAAAUAUAUAAUGCACGCUUUGUUUUAAAUAUUUUAAAUAUUUUGUACAUGGAUUUAAAUUUUCUGCAAAUAUAAUCAUUCUCGAUUUAGUCCUCGAUAAAUAAUGGUAUAAUAUUUUUUGUGCCAGAGUAGUAAAAAAAAAAUCAGGAACGUUUCAACUUGUAUCGUGUAGCCAGAAUGAGAAAUCAAUCGAAUUUUCUCCUGAAACUCUUUCAAACGUCGUUUUCCUCUCGCCAUUACCGUACUUACUCGCAGCACGGCCAAAUUAGUGGAACGAAGAGGUACAGAAGACGAAAAGAAGAGGAACAGAGACGAUCAACGCGCCGCAUACCGGUAUAGCCAGCAACCAGCAGCCGAGUAUCAUCGGACCGGCUACGCUCGAGUUUCUUAAUGUAAUUUUCCUUUUUUACCUCCAUUCGCUUUACGAUCGAAACUUUUGCCCUUCUCUCCCUCGCUCGUGUUCCUGUCGUCCCAUCCCUUUGCCCCCUCCAUCUCCUUUUCUUCUUCCUCGACUCGUUCUCCCGCCUCUUCGUGGUCCACCUUCGCGCGCCCCAUCCCCUCCCCCGUUUCCUUUUCGUCUGCUCGAACGAGCCGUUCGAGCACGAGUUUGCGAACUUUCGUGAUUCUAUAUUACGCGUUGGCCCCCUGUCUUAUGCUUUCCUCUUGCGUCGUUUUCUUCCUCGAAUCUCGGUCCGCAGACUGGCCGUAAUUAUGCAUCCAAGUUGGAAGCCCGAUUAAACGAUAUUUUAGAUAGGAAGUGGGAAAGAAUGCCUCUAUCGAAUUCCGUUUCCUUGCAUUUUUAAGGCGGGUUUACACUGGCCGAUCGUGUUCCCAUGAAUAAGAUAAAUUGAAAUAAAGUGAAGUAGAGUGAUAACAGGAUAAGAAAUUGGAAAGUGUCUACGGUUAAUCUGCAGGUAAUUGUAUCCUUAAUUAGAUAGCAUCUAAAGAAUAAACAAAUAGAAUUCUUAAUUAGAUGUGGGGAAUAAAACUAGAAACAGAAAGAGCCAUGUAGCCAUCUUUGUAUUAGUGGUGCACUCUGUAGAGAAGUUUAGAUAUUAGUAACGAGUAUGCUUUGUUUACGAAAGUUUAUAGUUCUCGUUGAAAUUUGGUUUCAUCUUCAAUUUUCAAUACAGUGAAAAGAGAUUAUUCUUUAAAUCUAUGAUUGUUUAUUGACCCAAAUUUUGCCGAAGUAUAUCAGGUUAUAUGUAAACGUGCAUGUGAUACAUUGUUGAAAAAUACGAAGAGUAGAUCGAUCUUUACUUUACGAUGCGUUUGUUGAAUACGUCGUGUUUGAUUGGAAUAACAGAAAUGUGUUCACGCUGAUUUUAUUUAGGCUGUUUCGAUUGAAGAUUAAACGAAAUUGUGAAUCGAAAUGUCGAAACUGGUUCGCGUAUAUUUAUGGAAUCGGUUCGGUAAAUUUUACGAGUCAGGAACUGUUAUAAAUACAAUAUUAAUACAAGGUUCAUUAAAUGACGUCAUUUAAUGGCGCAUAUGGCUAUUUUAGUAAUGCAUAAAUGAAUAACUUUUGAUAGUUGUUCUUCUUCGAGCAUACUUACUUUUUACACAGAAAAGAUUUGAUUUUAUUUAGAAAUAUUUCAUUAUUAACUUGGUAAUUUUUAAAUGAAAUAAUAUAACGAAUCAUUUUAUCAAUUUCUAUAUUUCCAUAAUAUCAAAUUUUCUUCUCGUUUUACGAGAAUAAAGUAACAAUCAUGAUUAAAAUUAUUCGUAUAUUUUAUAUACAUAUUUAUAUAUAUAUAUAUUAAUACGCAUCAAUACUGAUUAAAAACUGAUUAUCUUUAAUAGUAAGAAUUUCUGCAACUUAAUAUUCUAUUAAUUAACACUUGCGAUUUGUACUUCACUUUAUUACAUCCUCGACGAUUUAAAAUCAAAGUUUUAUUCACGAAGUAAACAAUCUCCAUGGAAGAAAUCAACCGUAUCCUCGAUGCAAUUGCUUAUAUUUGCAUAUACUACGAUUUCUUGCGAGAAGAAAGAAAAGUAUCGGUGAAUCGACAUGAAAUUAAAAUCAACGAAAUACUAACGGACGACGAUCCUAUCGAACGCAUUUUACAAGGUUAUCGACGAAGAAGGUAUGAAGAUAGCAAAGGAAGAAAGGGAAAAGCCGCGGCUUCUCGCGCGGCCACUUAAACAUCCAGGCGGUAGAGAAUUUACGUAUCGAGGAGUAGAAUGCGAGAAAAAGGGUGGAGGGAAGGUGCCACGGGAAGAAAGAGACGCAGGAUGGUCUGCAUAUAAAGUGGACACGAAAUGAAGCGGGUUACGUUGCUUGGCUGGUAUAGGAGCAUAUGCCUCUCUCCUCCAUCCGUGAAGUUUGCCUCGCCUUUUUACUCGGUGUACAUUUCGUUUACAUAGGAUCCACGUGCAAGCGGGCGUGCAAAUGCGAAUAUACGCUAUGGAACGUGUACAUGCUUGGCUGUGUGCGCGCAAUGUAUACAGGGAGGCGUUAAAAAAUAAAAAAAAAUUCUUCUCUUCGUUCUUUUAAGUGGAAUAUUCUGAGGAUAUUAUAGGUAUAUUAAUGUUUUGUUAUUUGGCUGUCACUGGAUCUAAUAAAGAAUACUUGAUUUAUUUUUCUUUAUUAUGCAGAUAAAGAAUUGUAGAAGAUACAAAGAUAAAAGAAACAGUUACUCUGCAACAAGUUUUUUUAUGGAGAUACAUUUUGAAACUGAAAAUAUUAUCUCUCCAUUUUCUUUCUCUUCUGCAUAGUUAAUUUCUAAAUUUUCAUCAUCAAUUUAAAUUAUUUAACUCAUAUCUUGAAAAUAAUUUGAAAAAUUGAAUCCCAUUUAUCAAUUUAGUUAAAAUUUAGUAAAGUCAAAAUAAUUCAGUUCUUUUGUAGCAGAAAAUGUUUUUCGAGUAAAUAUUGAUUUUCAUAAUAAAUAACAAAAAUGUACUUGCUUAUUUCAUUUAAAACAAUUUUAUCAUAUUAAUAAUAAUACUGCCAGACAAAAAAAAGCGCAUCGAUACCUGCAACAAUCUCCAAAAGAAUAGCUUGUACGCAGCAUUUCACAUGACUCACCCUGUAUACAGAGAAGAGUGUAAGAAAAAAAGAGGCCGUAUUCCGUGUUGGUGGGCAGGGACAGAAGAGAGAGAGAGAGAGAAGAGAAUCCACGUAAAGGCAGAGCAUCCACCACCACUACCAGCAACAAGAAAGGAAGAAAGAGGGACAGAAAGAAGAUCGAGGCUUGGUUAAAAGCGCGCAGGGUGCUCACAAUGGCCGACGAUUUUCAACUUUUGCUAUCGCCUAGCCGAGAAUGGAAAAUGGAGAAUCCCAACGCUGGAUACAUACAUAUAUAUAUAUAUAUCUACACUGAACUCAUUUACUUUGAAAGUUUCUCGAGAGCCUCCUUGCAUCUCUUUUCACCCGCGUUUACUGUUUUCUCCGUCUUCUUUUCAUCCUUCGAAGAGAUAUUCCCGCAUCGUGGAUCGAGCGUGAAACGCACUCCUGCCAAUUAUCGAUGGAGAUUUCACGGAUUUUGCAAAUUAAAGGAUUACACGCGAUCGAUUCGAAGAGAAGAAUCGAAAUGUAAAAUCGAUUUUAAAUGGUUCCUCUUUUUUAAUUUAUUAAGUUUCAGAUAUCUUUGAUCAGAUAUCUGUUUCAAUUUUUUUUUUUCUUUUAGCUUGUAUAAAAAUCUUUUUAAUGAUCGUUGGAAUAUUUUAAGAAGGGAAAUAAAUUAUUUAUUCUUUUUUAUUUAAAUGCGAAUUUAUUUUUGGAAAGAAAUUGAGGGAAUGAAUAAUGGCAACAUAAUUUACGGUUCGCAAUUUAAAAUAUCCGUUUUGAUCAAUUGAAAAUUAAUUAAAUAAAUGAUAUAUGCGGAAUUGUAUUAUUCAUUUUAAAAAUAAUGCACGUUUAUUUUUCAAAAUUUUAUCUGAUAAAUAUUUGAUAAUUCAAGAAACGUAGAAAAUUUAAUCUAAUUUAGAAUUUGAGGAUAUGCUCAGAAUAAAUAUUGAGGUUAAGCAACGAUAUUUUAUUUCCUGUUCUUAAUUAAUAAUUGUUUUUACUUUUCAUAAAAACUGUAUAUAUAUACACAUAUAAUGAAUUAACAAUAUCGUUGAAUUAAUGAAUAUAUAUAUAUAUAU